rnacentral:lncRNA from 1 species
CCAGGACUAUGUAUCGCCGACCCUUUCAUUUAUAUAUGCACAUCCGGAAGCAGUUAUAAUUCCCCAGACAAUAAAGCAAUGGGAUAGAAAAGCAUGCCAUACAUUUCUCUUACUGAAAAUUCACAACUACAUCUUUUUACAUGCAAACAAUGUCUGACAAGACAGGAUAGGAUUUCGGUCCUCAUCCGGGUCGUACUCGAUGUCAUACUCGGGGUCCUCCUCCACGUACUCCUCUUUGGGUUCCUCAACAGGGAUCUCCUCAUCAGAUUCAUGCUCCUUAGGCUCCUCAUCCAGGUCCUGAAAUGGUUAUUCAAUAACCACUGAGACCACGUCUCAGCAAGUUCUACUUCCUAAGACCCGAUUAGUAAACUAAUACACCUUAGGGCUGCCUAUGCACAACAUAAAUUAGAAGACUUACCUUAGCCUCAUAUUCUACCUGCAUAUUAGUACAGAUCAAAUAGGCACACAAGCAAUCACAUGACAGAUCGAAGCAUCGAUCUAAUCGACUUAGUCGAUUUCACAUCAGGAAGACCAAUCACGAUCAUCUCCCUUCAAUCAUUCAAUUCAACACAUCAAACCAAGGCAAUGAAUCACAUCAAGACACACUCAGAUCGAAUCAUCGAUCAAUCGACCUAGUCGAUUACAAGUCAGUCGAAUCAUUUCUAGGUCAUUAAUCCAACACCAAGCAAUUCCUUAGAUUUAGUGGCUUUACGGUCCCACCCGACCCUCUCGAGAACUAGUGGCUUUUCGGUCCCACCCGACCCUCUCGAGAACUAGUGGCUUUACGGUCCCACCCGACCCUCUCGAGAACUAGUGGCUUUACGGUCCCACCCGACCCUCUCGAGAACUAGUGGCUUUACGGUCCCACCUGACCCUCUCAAGAUGCCAAACUAUGUCACCGAGCCACGUGCAUUCUUCAGGAAGACAUACCGAGUCUUCGAGCCACGUGCAUUCUCUAAAGCUACCUUUUUGCCAAUGUGACAUAUCUAAUCACCGAGCCACGUGUCUUUCCCGAGUAACAUCCCAAUUUACUAGGCCACGUGCAUCCUCAAGGUGAUUUACCAACUCACUUUCGAUACUAACAACCGAUAUCCGACCGAUUCUCAAUCACAGUGCCAAAAUUGCAUUAUUUAAUAACAUACUUAAAAAUGCACCAUUAAAUCAAUUCGACACGAAUUAAAGAUCAAAUAAAUAAACGGACUGCUCCACGACCAUCAGCACGAAAUUCCGGUCACUGGCCAUCCCAGUUGAAUUUCCGGAAAAUAAAUAAUUAAAUAAUUAAUUUCGAAAAUUAAAUAAAUAAAUACAAUAAAUUCAAUUUAGCACAAUAUAAAGCUCAAUUAAAUAAACGGACUGCGCCACGAUCAUCAGCAUAAAAUCCCGGUCACUGGCCAUCCCAGUUGAAUUUCCAGAAAAUAAAUAAUUAAAUAAUUAAUUUCGAAAAUUAAUAUUUAAUUCCUAAAAAUACCACUUAGGCCCGAAUCGCUUAAUUAAUACCCGAUAAGGGACGGGAAAAAUCCCAAGAAGCAUCCAAUAAAUACUACAUGCAAUUCUCUAUCUAAUUACACUAAUUACAUCACUAAUAUACAAAGCAAUUAACUAAUAAUCCCUAAUCCAUUCUAAUCUAACAACCUAAUUACACUUAAUUAACACUAAUCAACCUUUAAGUAUAAUUAGCAAACUAAGAAGGCAUUAGUGAGUAAAACUCACUCAAAACAACGGGCUCGACGCGAGGAUCGACUUUCCUCAAAGCGGGCCGAGCAUCCGGGCUCGGGAAAACGGCCAAAACGGGCCAAAACCCUCUGCGAUACCCAUUUUCUACACUCACUGAUCGCUGCUGGAAGGGGUGGAUCCGGGGCUGAUUCGAGCUAGACAAGGCCGGUGGAGGGCGAGGGGACUCCGACGGGUCGAAGUGGCGGCGCACGGUGGCCGGAGGUGGCUGAACCGUGGCUUGUACUGGCCAAAAUGGAGCUGAACAGAGGCGGAACAGGGGUUGGACAGCAGCUCUGGAACAGCGAGCUAGGCGAGAGGGAGACCGAGCUAAGCGGAGAAGCGGCGGAGCGCACGGCGUCGCGCGGGCGGCGGUGCGACAGCUCCGGUCCAGCAACGCCAGCUGCUGCCCCAACUCCGGUGUCCUCCCAGAUCUGGAACCCCGAGCAACGAACGGAGGGGAAGACAGAGGUGCCGACGGCGGCUGGAAUGGGUGAGGGAGAGGCGGAGAUGAACGACGGAGCGGCGGAGCGGGUGAUGCGCCGGCGAGGACGGCUUGCGGCGUGAGGCGGUGUGGAGUAACGAUGGCAAGCUGCUGUCUCUGUUUCUGCUUCGUUCGAACCAGAGGAGGGAGAGGGGGCGGAGAUGCGCGGACGGCAGCACGGCGGCGAGCUCAGGUGCGUGAGCAGCUCCGGUGCUUGCAGACGUGCAACGACGACGGCGGAAGGCAGCGACUACAGCUCAGUCUUCGCUGGUCUUCGGCUCCCAUGGAGUUUUGAAGAAAAAGAAAAAGAUGGGGGAGGAGUUCGGUCGACGAAGGAGGAGAGAGGGGAGGAAGAAAAACUCAAUUUCCCUUUCUUUUCUCUCACUCUCUCUCUCUCUUAGGUUAGCCACACAUGGCCACCACCAGCUGUCUCCCACUCUUCAAUUUUUGACAAACAUGCCCCCUUCUAGAAGCAUUUAGGUAGGCUAAAGAGUUGGGUUUAUGGGCAUACGAAUUUUGCUAGGGUUUCUUUCCAAAUUGAACCUUAAUCCCACUUGAAUCAAAUCAAUUUGACCCCUAUAAUUUCAUUCAAUAUUUCAUCGAUCAAAUUUGUACUUUUUCUUAUCAGUAUAGCCCACUUGUAUCCCGAAUUCACAAUCUCUGGCUUCAACUGAACAAAACGGCCCUAUUUAUCCAGUCAAAUUAAAACCCAAAAAUCUGGAUGUCACAACUCUUCCCCUCUUAUAAAAAUUUCGUCCUCGAAAUUUAAACCUUUACCAAUCCUUAUACAAAAGGUGGGGGUAUUGUCGUCUCAUCGAGUCUCACUUUUUCCCACGCUAAUCCUUCGGUCUUGUGGUGUUGUCCGAUCAUUUUGACUAAGGAGGUCAUUUUGGUACACAAAUUCUGCUCUUUCUGAACCAACAACUGAACUGAGCUUCUCAUAUAUGACACUCCAUCAUUCACCUCUGAUCUCUUCUUCUCGACUCCCUAAUGAACCUUCGAACCUCAACGAUUCAAGCUUUCUGACAGUUCUGAGUAGUCUUUACUCUGACAUUGAUCUGACAACUGUAAACACCGAUUUCUGAGCUGACUUAGGACUGGUGAUUUUCUGAUUUCUGAUCUCAUCCCAACCGACUGAAAUCCUGUACACUUUGCUCUGCACUGAUUAAAAGGAAACUAUCUGAUUGAUCUGCUGAAACUGGGAACCUCUGGUCAAGAUCUAAUAUAACUCUAGCACUGAUCUUGUCAACCGCAAUCACUGACUACUGUACUGACUUUGGCCUGAAAUCUUCUUCACUUUCUUUUCACCACUGAAAUUCUGUACCCUCUUCUAUAACAUUGCUUAAGAAAGAACCCUCUGAAAGCUUUGCCAAAUUGAUAAUCUCUGAGCUAGAUUCAAAAUAUAAUUUAUCCCCGGCACUCCAUGCCGGCGAAUUAUCUGAUGCACACAUACUUCGGUAUACCCACUCUGAUAAGAUAGAAUCUUCAAUUUCUGAAAUCGAACUUAGAUUGGCGGUUAAUUUCAUUCCGACAUGCUUUUAGUGUGACCUAGGCUACUGGGUAGUGUUCAGAGCUUUUUAGGACAAUUGACCCGUGGUCGAUUUUCUUCGAGCAACAAUAAACCCACUCGACACAUUGACGACUCUCAAUUGUCGUGAAAAUCUCAAAUUCAAAUACGGACACAGGGUACCAAACCGACAGUAAAGUCAAAUUAGUGCCAGUCGACGAGAGUUUUCCAAUUUAGUGGGGUCACCCACGAUUGGUCACUUAUCUCAGUCGAGCCAACCUAUCUCCGAUCUUAAUUCGAUUUUUAACUGUGCCGUAAUGACCUCUAAAGAUGAGCACGGUCAAGAAGUCGAUUCAUGGUCGAAUUCUCAGUCUAUCUGCCUUAAAGUUCUUAAUAGCCUACCCAGCUAGUCUAGUUAUCUCGUGAGUGGCCAACUUAGAGAAAAACACUGUAAUUGCGUCGAUGAAAUGCCCAAUUUAUCUAAUCGAAAUCAAAUAUCGAAAUCUGGAUGUUACACACUCAAAACAAGAUCUAUUCGUACUGUACCAAAGUGGAUCAACUCCAUCUAUCGAUCGACCACUAUUCUCAAAUGGUAUCAGUAAUCCCCUGAAUCCUUAGUAAGACUAUCACAAUGUUCCAUUGUGAUAUAUUUCCAUUUCCACUUGGGACUCUCAAGUGAUGGUAAAAAUUCUCCCGAUUCACAUUACCGAGCUUCCACUUACUGACACUUUUGACACUUGCAACCUACUCAGCAAUAUCUAUCUUCAUAUCAGCUUACUAAUCUAGUUGAUGCCGAUUCUGAUUUACUUGCACCAUCUGGUCAAAACUGCAAUACUAUAGUGAACUUCCGACAAGAUCUUUUCCCUGAGUGCUACACUGUCAAGGGUAUUCAAUCACUCAUGGAACCUGAACUUUCCAUUCUCAUAAAUCUUAAAGUCAGAUUCCUUCUUACCAGUAUCCUCUUAUAAGAUCUUCUGAACAUCUUUGUCUGCCAACUAGGCGCCGAUUCUAACUUGAACAUUUGGUUCAAUCUUGAGGGUGGCUAUAAAAUUCAAAAGGUAGCCUGCCUCAAUUUUGAAAACCAAGCUUCGAAGUCUUUUCAAGUAAAGUCUACACUUUAGCCAGUCUAUGCACGAUUGAAGACUCUCGGCUCAACACAUUAAUGACUCAUUUCGUUCCUCCAAGGUGAUACCCAAUAUCACUAUUUUAGUUCUGCCAAAAUUCUAGUUCACGACACCGCUUCGUAUUCCACUUAUUGGGUCUCAACUGGCGGAACGGUAAUGCAACAAUCUUCUCAUGUUGUAUCAAUGCAUACCUCGCCUCUACAAGACACAUCACUAAAGAUUCCAUGCUUUCCAGGGCCAAAUGAAAAGUUUAGCACAAGUACGAUAGUCAGUCCUUACUUAAGCUCUGGAAACUAUCCUCGUACUUGUCUAUGCUGAUGAAUUUCUCUUCUUUCUUAAGAGAUCAAGCCCCCGAUGGUACUGAUGCUGAAAAUUCUUUCACAAACCUUCUGUAGUAAUCUGUCCAAUCACCACAGCUUCUGAUCUCUGACAUUGAUGUCGGUCUCGGUCCAUAAACAACUGAUUCAAUCUUGGAUGGGUCCAUGAAAAUUCCUUAACUUGUAAUCACAUGACCAUUCUUAAGGGCUCUCAUGAUCCUCAUCACUUAAUGAACACCCUAGAAUGUUACUACACCACAUGAUCACCAUUGAUCUAGAUAUUCUUUGAAUACUCGGUUUGUCAAGUCUAUGACAACGGCUGGAGCGUUCGUCAAAUCAAAUGGCUUUACAUUAUUCUCACAGGGGCUAAAUCAAGUGCGAAGUGUUGUCUUCAGUAUAACCUCCUUCCUAGUUCUCAACUAAAGAUAACCUGUCGUCAAGCCGAUCCUUGAAGACAUCAACACUCUUUAUAACAAAUUACCCAAUUAAGUUGACAAUGGUUGAUGCAUGAUUGCAAUGAACCAUUUUCAUUUCUCUUUCCACAAAACUGAUGUUCCUUAAAGCGAUGCACUAAUAUGUAUGAAUUCCUCAUUCAUCAAUCUUCACAUCCGUACCUUCGGUUCUAUCCAUUCAAACAACAAUAACUAGUGAUUCCCCUUUCUUCCACUUAUUUCAAUAAACUAAAGUUCUCCAAACUUCAUCAAAACUCUACUACGAUACUCUGAUAGAAUUUUCCCCAAAACAUUCUUCCUCUGUCUAAUGCCAGGUCGGUUCCAUUUUUUAUCUUCUCACCAUACCUGGAUACUGAAUUCAUCCAGGUUUCUUCCACAAUUUCGACACCUAUCAGGUGAGUCUUCUACCUCUUGUCACGUGCUAGGAUGCACUAUUUCUUAUACAAGAGAUCUAUCCCAGAAAUUCCACAGUGCGUUCUAUGGCGCACUUCUCCUAAACUGUUCUACCAAUAGUGACAGCAGUAACUGUUGUCAAGAUUCCAUCUUCUUAUGCGGAUACACCAUAAAUCACUGUCCGUACUGGCGACACUUACCACAAUUUCUUGCCCUCAGAAUACACAAGACUAAUCUAUAUCAUCUUCCAUAGAACAACAUGUUACGUUUGUCUAAAUGCUAACCUGACUAUUCCACCAUUCCUAUUGAGUGGAACAAAAUACUCUUCCCUAGUCUUUUCCCAUGACCGAAUUCCCAGUCUGCUUGCGCUAAAUCUUGACUCAAAAAUCGAAAUUUGUUCCCUGACUAUCCUUCCAGGUUGGACCUCAACAAAGGUAGCAACAACAACAACUUGAUCCUGAUCUUACCGGCUCAUACAGAUCCCAAGAAACACUUGCAUCAAAUCAAUCUUAUCGGGCUUAGGAUCAAUCACUGCUGCUACACUAGUACCAACCUGCGAUGGCACUCUUACGCUCAAGCUGGCCAGAGUCAACACUCUGCCUUCCGAAUCCACAACGAUUAAAAGCAAUCGAUUCACACAUAACAAACAAUUCUACCAAUCAGCUAUCAAACACAUGCACCAGUCAUGAAUUUAAAGGCCUUUCCUACUACUAUCCCAUAGGUCAUCGCACCUUAUCACUCCAAUACUUAACCAUUGCUCUAAUACCACAAAAAGGGGAUGUCACGCCCCGACACUCAGAGCACGCACACAUCCCUUACUUUUGGUCGAUUUUAAAAUGCGAUAUCCCAGGACUAUGUAUCGCCGACCCUUUCAUUUAUAUAUGCACAUGUGGAAGCAGUUAUAAUUCCCCAGACAAUAAAGCAAUGGGAUAGAAAAGCAGGCCAUACAUUUCUCUUACUGAAAAUUCACAACUACAUCUUUUUACAUGCAAACAAGGUCUGACAAGACAGGAUAGGAUUUCGGUCCUCAUCCGGGUCGUACUCGAUGUCAUACUCGGGGUCCUCCUCCAUGUACUCCUCUUUGGGUUCCUCAACAGGGAUCUCCUCAUCAGAUUCAUGCUCCUUAGGCUCCUCAUCCAGGUCCUGAAAUGGUUAUUCAAUAACCACUGAGACCACGUCUCAGCAAGUUCUACUUCCUAAGACCCGAUUAGUAAACUAAUACACCUUAGGGCUGCCUAUGCACAACAUGAAUUAAAAGACUUACCUUAGCCUCAUAUUCCACCUGCAUAUUAGUACAGAUCAAAUAGGUACACAAGCAAUCACAUCACAGAUCGAAGCAUCGAUCUAAUCGACUUAGUCGAUUUCACAUCAGGAAGACCAAUCACGAUCAUCUCCCUUCAAUCAUUC